rnacentral:ncRNA from 2 species
CGGCGUCUCUGGAAAGUGACGAGCCACUCGUCCGCCCACGGUGAAAGGCCAGACGCGUCGGUGACGCCGCGUACGGCCGAAUCUCUCAGGCGCCGGCCGGAUCCGCGAUCCGCGGCAUGACAGAGGGGGAGGA